ACGUAUGAAUUGAAUAAUUAUACUUUGAGUACAUGUUCCUUCAUCCAUGACACUGAAAAAGGGUGGAACAGGUUCAGACUUCAUGUGAAAGCUUCAUGUAAACAUGCUGCAGAAUUCAACUCUGUGAAUUUAAUCAGCACUUUGAGGAGCAGCAGAGGUCACUUCAUUAUAGCUGUUACUGGCCUCGUUUCUCUGUGCUUCUUCACUACCAAGAAAAACAUCGCACCGUAGGAGAUACAAGCUUAUUUCAUUGGCGAGGGGAUUCCCACAGCUGUAAUAACCGUCAGCACCACUGGGUGGUAGUCGCUUUCUUCAGAUGGAGAGCAGAGCCGAGCGGGGGGACUUAGAGCCGGAGACUCCGCCAGAGGCCCUCCUCGGCGCUCCACACCUCAUACGAACCGCAGAUUUUGUGGGAUCCGCACUUUGCCGCAGUCUCAGCUCGUUCAGAGGGCUGUGUGUACCUUGCAUCUCUUUUUCAGUGAGUCUACUACUAAGGCGAAGAGCAACGCUAGCUAUGCGGAGUCCGGACAGCCCACUCCCCGGCACCUGCAAGCAGGUGGUGUCAGUGUUUUGUUCGUGAGCAGAAACACUGGUGGUGUCCUGGCAGGGUCAGCAACUGUGUCUUUCUGCUUCUAAGGUGGAGAAAUACGGUGAAUAUAGAAUGACUGGGGAUAGCUAAACAUGAGAGUAAUGCUUAUCCUUCUAAGCCCUCUAAACAGGCCGGUGAGUCUUAGUGCAGCCUGUAAAGGAACGUCUAGUGCUGUCAGCUCUAAAGUGUGUCACAUUAAAGUCUUACAAGCUAGAGGAGA